GUCUUUUCCAUACCUCCAACCUGGAACCAACCAUAUUGCUCCAAUUUACUGAAGGAGUAGAAUUAUGCAGAAGAUGAUCUUAUGCUAUAUUGGCUGAUAUACACUGCUACGGGAUCAGGAUAAAUAUGGUCAAAAAUUGCCCUGUUCCUUUCCUUCCAUAUGUUCCACAGAGUAGAAACAAUGCAGCACAUGGAAUCAUGAUUACCCGGAUCAAUCCGAAAAUGCUGCCACAAGCCUUCCCACCAUCUAUCAAAUGUAGAGAAACCCACCGGAUUUGGUUUGUAAGUACAAGGGCUCGCAAACCAGAUUACUCUUGGCGUGGUGAAGAUAGAAAAGGGCAUGCUCCACGGAUUCCUCCUCAUCUUCACAAAGGGGACAGACUUAAUCAAGGACGACUCCUCUCCUCAUCAAAUUUAACUUGACCGGAAUAGCAUUUAAAAUCGUUUUUCAAAGGAGAUUAAUAUUUGUUUAUUGUUGAUAAAACAUUUACAUUGAAUCUCUCAAGCAAUUGAUAUGCCUAUCACAUCACUUAAAACAAAUAUUAUAGCAAUUGAUCAAAUAUUUGAUUAGGGUUUCUACUUCCUACAAAUUGUUAAUUGGCAUUAUAUUCUCAUAAAUAAAUCAGAAAUUUCCAUGAAAUCGCUUAAAAACAGAAAAGCAAAGCACAAACUUGAUGACCUCAUUGACACAAGAACAAUCAGGAAAACAACUCAUCGACAGAAGAGUUGACUGUACAUCUAAUCAUUCAUGUUUAGCUAAAUUCUUGCAAACGGCCAAUAUAUGCUAGAGGUACAUUUUAUCAGAAAGAAAGGGAGAUGGGUACUUAACAGAUGUUGUUGAUGUUAUGGAACCAAAGAGAAUCUUGAGUCAGUCAUGGCUACGAAAAGACGAGACCCUACUGAGUUAUAAUUUCUUGAACUGGGAAGCUACACACGUUGUUUGUACCCAGUGAUCUUCUUCAAUAACUUCGAAGGCAAGGAAAUCACAGGUUAUAACUUAAGUGAAAGGAGAUGAGAGUUUUAUAGAGUUGGCAAAAGAUAAAAGAUACAAUUAUGGAUAAGUAACACUUGGGAGUGAACAGUUGAGGGUUCUUUUAUUUGAGGUUUGCUUUCCCUUAAGGAAUUCGAUCGGCCUCGACCUCUGCAUCGGUCGGUUUGGUUCACGCCAUUAGAAUUGACCACACAAGAUCCGAGCUCUCCUGAUUGCAAAUUACAAAACCCACGAAAAUAACCAAAGCCAAGAACCGUGGAUUUCAAAGGGCAGAUAUGCCUCCAAGAACAGGAAGAGCUCGAAAGGUGUGAUGCUCCAACCUUUCCUUUUAUUUGUUUAGUUAUUAUAUUCCCGUUUCCCGCAUUUUCUCUCUCUUUCUCACUGAUCGGCCGUUCUUUCUCUGUCUCUGGGAGAAACUUUUACACUUUUACAGGUGGAUCUGAAACGGAUUGAUGCUGCAGUUGACGCCCUUCGCUUAAUGGGCUUCCCUGAAGCUGUGGUUCGCAGAACCGCUUAUGGAGGAGAUGAAGGUUGGACUUUUAUUGAAGAGGGUUCUUACAAGCUUCUCAUUGAUUCCAUUCUUGAGGAGCAAGAGAAAUCUGAGAGGGAAAAUAAUGAACCAAAACUAUUAGAAAACAGUGAUCCCACACUGUUGAUAGAGAAUGGAGUGUCAAAGGAUGGCAUUAUUCAAGAUGCUACUGGAGCACAAGUUCACUCCUCUCAUGGUUAUUUAAAGCGAGUUCAAUCACCAAGCAUUGAAUCCCCAUCAAAGAAACUUGCCCUGCAAGUCCACUCCGCACAAUCUCACUGCUCCUCAUCAACGGUAGUACUGGAAGCUGCUCCAUGCUCUUUUAAGGAUGAAACCUGUCAUGGCAAGCUUGGUAGAGAGUUACCCUUCUCUCAGAUCUCUGCAGGAGUCAGUUCUCCACAGUUGUUUUCUCCUCCACCAGUUGAAUCUCUUCUAGCUCAGGAGGGUAAACCUUGUUACGGGUGGCUUAGUGAUGAUGAUGAGGAAUGAGGCAGAGUUUAAGCGUACCUAAUGCCAGCCUCUUCACAUCCACCUUCUUGUCAGUACAACAAAACCUUUUUACACGCAGAAUUUUUCUCAAGAAGUAAUUUAUUUGCGAGAACAAUUAGGCUACAGCACAGCAACGAAGUACACCUCUUUCAUUUUCUUGAUGAAUUUAAAGUCCUCAUAAGGUACCAAAGUUUUGCUUCUUAAAGAACAUAUGGAUGAUUUCCAUAUUCUUUAAAAAUCUUGGAACCACAAAAUAAAGAAACAUAUGAAAGAAAAAGAAAAUUAAAAGAAAUGAAAGUAAAAGAAAUAAAGCUUUACCUCUAUCCUUUUUUUUUCUUUUU
rnacentral:misc_RNA from 1 species